GAGGGUAGGGCUCAGGGGUAGAGCUCAUGCUUAGGAUGCAUGAGGUCCUGCGUUCAAUCCCUAGUGUCUCUA
rnacentral:tRNA from 1 species